AUUGAACGCUGGCGGCAGGCCUAACACAUGCAAGUCGAGCGGUAGAGAGGUGUUUGCAUCUCUUGAGAGCGGCGGACGGGUGAGUAAUGCCUAGGAAUCUGCCUAGUGGUGGGGGAUAACGUUCGGAAACGGACGCUAAUACCGCAUACGUCCUACGGGAGAAAGCGGGGGGAUCUUCGGACCUCGCGCCAUUAGAUGAGCCUAGGUCGGAUUAGCUAGUUGGUGAGGUAAUGGCUCACCAAGGCGACGAUCCGUAACUGGUCUGAGAGGAUGAUCAGUCACACUGGAACUGAGACACGGUCCAGACUCCUACGGGAGGCAGCAGUGGGGAAUAUUGGACAAUGGGCGAAAGCCUGAUCCAGCCAUGCCGCGUGUGUGAAGAAGGU
rnacentral:rRNA from 1 species